rnacentral:rRNA from 1 species
UACGUAGGUGGCAAGCGUUGUCCGGAUUUACUGGGCGUAAAGAGCGCGCAGGCGGUCGUUCAAGUCGCGUGUGAAAGCCCCCGGCUCAACUGGGGAGGGUCACGCGAUACUGAUCGACUCGAAGGCAGGAGAGGGUAGUGGAAUUCCCGGUGUAGUGGUGAAAUGCGUAGAUAUCGGGAGGAACACCAGUGGCGAAGGCGACUUGCUGGAUCUUUGGCUGACG